rnacentral:rRNA from 1 species
GACGAACGCUGGCGGCGUGCUUAACACAUGCAAGUCGAACGAUGAAGCCCAGCUUGCUGGGUGGAUUAGUGGCGAACGGGUGAGUAACACGUGGGUGAUCUGCCCUGCACUCUGGGAUAAGCCUGGGAAACUGGGUCUAAUACCGGAUAUGACCUCUUGCUGCAUGGCGAGGGGUGGAAAGUUUUUCGGUGCAGGAUGAGCCCGCGGCCUAUCAGCUUGUUGGUGGGUAAUGGCCUACCAAGGCGACGACGGGUAGCCGGCCUGAGAGGCGACCGGCCACACUGGGACUGAGACACGGCCCAGACUCCUACGGGAGGCAGCAGUGGGGAAUAUUGCACAAUGGGCGAAAGCCUGAUGCAGCGACGCCGCGUGAGGGAUG